AACGAACGCUGGCGGCAUGCCUAACACAUGCAAGUCGAACGAGACCUUCGGGUCUAGUGGCGCACGGGUGCGUAACGCGUGGAAACCUGCCCUUAGGUUCGGAAUAACUCCCCGAAAGGGGUGCUAAUACCGGAUAAUGUCUUCGGACCAAAGAUUAUCGCCUUUGGAUGGGCCCGCGUUGGAUUAGCUAGUUGGUAGGGUAAAAGCCUACCAAGGCGACGAUCCAUAGCUGGUCUGAGAGGAUGAUCAGCCACACUGGGACUGAGACACGGCCCAGACUCCUACGGGAGGCAGCAGUGGGGAAUAUUGGACAAUGGGCGAAAGCCUGAUCCAGCAAUGCCGCGUGAGUGAUGAAGGCCUUAGGGUUGUAAAGCUCUUUUACCCGGGAUGAUAAUGACAGUACCGGGAGAAUAAGCUCCGGCUAACUCCGUG
rnacentral:rRNA from 1 species